rnacentral:rRNA from 1 species
UACGGGGGGAGCAAGCGUUGUUCGGAUUUACUGGGCGUAAAGGGCUCGUAGGCGGCCAACUAAGUCAGACGUGAAAUCCCCAGGCUCAACCUGGGAACUGCGUCUGAUACUGGAUGGCUUGAAUUCGGGAGAGGGAUGCAGAAUUCCAGGUGUAGCGGUGAAAUGCGUAGAUAUCUGGAGGAAUACCGGUGGCGAAGGCGGCAUCCUGGACCGAGAUUGACGCUGAACGGCGAAAGCUAGGGGAGCAAACGGG